AUUGAACGCUGGCGGCAGGCCUAACACAUGCAAGUCGAGCGGAUGAGUGGAGCUUGCUCCAUGAUUCAGCGGCGGACGGGUGAGUAAUGCCUAGGAAUCUGCCUGGUAGUGGGGGACAACGUUUCGAAAGGAACGCUAAUACCGCAUACGUCCUACGGGAGAAAGCAGGGGACCUUCGGGCCUUGCGCUAUCAGAUGAGCCUAGGUCGGAUUAGCUAGUUGGUGGGGUAAAGGCCUACCAAGGCGACGAUCCGUAACUGGUCUGAGAGGAUGAUCAGUCACACUGGAACUGAGACACGGUCCAGACUCCUACGGGAGGCAGCAGUGGGGAAUAUUGGACAAUGGGCGAAAGCCUGAUCCAGCCAUGCCGCGUGUGUGAAGAAGGUCUUCGGAUUGUAAAGCACUUUAAGUUGGGAGGAAGGGCAGUAAGUUAAUACCUUGCUGUUUUGACGUUACCAACAGAAUAAGCACCGGCUAACUUCGUGCCAGCCGCCGCGGUAACAC
rnacentral:rRNA from 1 species